AAAGUCGAUCAGGCAAUCGCUUUUUACUUCGGUAAAAAGAGGAAAGUCCGGGCUCCACAGGGUAAAGUGCCAGGUAACGCCUGGGAGGCGUGAGCCUACGGAAAGUGCCACAGAAAAUAUACCGCCUUACUGAAAGCUUAGCGACAGUAAGGUAAGGGUGAAAUGGUGCGGUAAGAGCGCACCGCGCGAUUGGCAACAGUCGUGGCAGGGUAAACCCCACUGGGAGCAAGACCAAAUAGGAAUCCAUCUUGCUGUAAAGCCGGAACGUAUGACCCGUACGGGAUUCGGGUAGGUCGCUCGAGGUUUAUGGUGACAUAAGCCCUAGAUGAAUGAUUGUCCAAGACAGAACCCGGCUUAUCGAUCGACUUUUUUC
rfam:Legionella jamestowniensis strain JA-26-G1-E2 Ljam_ctg013, whole genome shotgun sequence.